rnacentral:misc_RNA from 1 species
GGAAGUAAAAGUCGUAACAGGGUUUACGUAGGUGAACCUGCGGAAGGAUCAUUAUUGUAUAACCGAGGUGCGAGGGCUGUCGCUGACCCGAAAGGUCGUGCACGCCCGAGUGCCCUCACACACAUCCAUCUCACCCCUAUGUGCACCACCGCGUGGGUCCCCCUUUGGCUUGUUCGGAGGGGGGCUUACGUAUUCACACAAACUUUGUAUGCAGUGUAGAAUGUGUUUUUUGUUUUUGCGAUCACGCAAUCAAUACAACUUUCAACAACGGAUCUCUUGGCUCUC